rnacentral:rRNA from 1 species
AAGUCGAACGUGAAAGCACUUCGGUGUGAGUAGAGUGGCGGACGGGUGAGUAACGCGUGGGAAUCUACCCAGUAGUGGGGGACAACUACCGGAAACGGUAGCUAAUACCGCAUACGCCCUAUGGGGGAAAGGCUUCGGCCGCUAUUGGAUGAGCCCGCGUCAGAUUAGCUAGUUGGUAGGGUAAAGGCCUACCAAGGCAACGAUCUGUAGCUGGUCUGAGAGGACGAACAGCCACACUGGGACUGAGACACGGCCCAGACUCCUACGGGAGGCAGCAGUGGGGAAUAUUGGACAAUGGGCGGAAGCCUGAUCCAGCAAUGCCGCGUGUGUGAAGAAGGCCUGCGGGUUGUAAAGCACUUUCAGUUGGGAAGAUGAUGACGUUACCAACAGAAGAAGCACCGGCUAAAUCCGUGCCAGCAGCCGCGGUAAUACGGAUGGUGCGAGCGUUAAUCGGAAUUACUGGGCGUAAAGCGCGCGUAGGCGGCUAAGUCAGUCAGAAGUGAAAGCCCCGGGCUCAACCUGGGAAUUGCUUUUGAUACUGCUUGGCUAGAGUUUGGUAGAGGAUAGUGGAAUUCCAGGUGUAGCGGUGAAAUGCGUAGAUAUCUGGAGGAACAUCAGUGGCGAAGGCGACUGUCUGGACCAAAACUGACGCUGAGGUGCGAAAGCGUGGGUAGCAAACAGGAUUAGAUACCCUGGUAGAAGGGC